UACAGAGGGUGCGAGCGUUGUCCGGAAUCACUGGGCGUAAAGGGCGCGUAGGUGGCGAAGCAAGUCAGUGGUGAAAGCUCGACGCUUAACGUCGAGUCGGCCACUGAUACUGCAUCGCUUGAGCACUGUAGAGGCUAAUGGAAUUCCGGGUGUAGCGGUGGAAUGCGUAGAGAUCCGGAAGAACACCGGUGGCGAAGGCGGUUAGCUGGGCAGUAGCUGACACUGAGGCGCGACAGCGUGGGGAGCAACAGGAUAGAA
rnacentral:rRNA from 1 species